rnacentral:rRNA from 1 species
GAACGCUGGCGGCGUGCCUAAUACAUGCAAGUCGAGCGGACAGAAGGGAGCUUGCUCCCGGAUGUUAGCGGCGGACGGGUGAGUAACACGUGGGUAACCUGCCUGUAAGACUGGGAUAACUCCGGGAAACCGGAGCUAAUACCGGAUAGUUCCUUGAACCGCAUGGUUCAAGGAUGAAAGACGGUUUCGGCUGUCACUUACAGAUGGACCCGCGGCGCAUUAGCUAGUUGGUGGGGUAAUGGCUCACCAAGGCGACGAUGCGUAGCCGACCUGAGAGGGUGAUCGGCCACACUGGGACUGAGACACGGCCCAGACUCCUACGGGAGGCAGCAGUAGGGAAUCUUCCGCAAUGGACGAAAGUCUGACGGAGCAACGCCGCGUGAGUGAUGAAGGUUUUCGGAUCGUAAAGCUCUGUUGUUAGGGAAGAACAAGUGCGAGAGUAACUGCUCGC